rnacentral:lncRNA from 1 species
UUUUAAUUAGAUCAUUAAUUUUAUAUUAUUAAAAUAGUACAAUAUCAUUCGAAAUUUACCAUGUAAAAGUAAUUUCGUGCCCAUUCGAAAUUUACCAUCCACCCAUGCCGGAGUCACUGGUUAAGUAAAAAAGAAAAGAAAUCAAUAAAUAAUAAUCAAAGAAGAAUAAAUAAUAAAAGGAAAGCCUUUUUCUGUUCUCUUAUUUUCUCACUUUUUCAAGUGUUUUUCUUCUUCUUCUUCUCUUUUCCACUUUAUACCAAGAACCCAAAUCACUUCAGCUCAAAGGGAAAACCAAACAAUA